GCGAGUUGAUGCCCUAAUGGGUAGAUCUCCCACCCUUGAAUAACAUACCUUUGUUGCUUUGGCGGUUGCGUCUUCGCGACGCCCGCCAGAGAACCCUAAACUCUGAAUUACAGUGUCGUCUGAGUACUAUAUAAUAGUUA
rnacentral:misc_RNA from 1 species